rnacentral:rRNA from 1 species
UACAGACGGUCCAAACGUUAUUCGGAAUCACUGGGCUUAAAGAGUUCGUAGGCGGUCAGGAAAGUGGGGUGUGAAAGCCCUCGGCUCAACUGGGGAGGGUCACGCGAUACUGUUCGACUCGAAGGCAGGAGAGGGAAGUGGAAUUCCCGGUGUAGUGGUGAAAUGCGUAGAUAUCGGGAGGAACACCAGUGGCGAAGGCGACUUCCUGGCCUGUUCUUGACGCUGAGGCGCGAAAGCUAGGGGAGCAAACGGG